rnacentral:tRNA from 1 species
GCGCCAAUAGCUCAGCUGGAUAGAGCAACUGCCUUCUAAGCAGUAGGUCUGGGGUUCGAGUCCCUAUUGGCGCGCCA